AUGGGCUAAAGAGACCCCAACAAGAUGUGGGACAGAAUGUCCUGAUAAGUCUUCUUCAUGCACACCUACUGGGAGGAGGACGACAAGAAGCACCCCAACUUUUAGGUCAACUUUGCUGAGUUCUAAAAGAAAUUGCAGGAGAGAUAGAAGACCAUGUCUGCAAAGGAAAAGUCAAAGUUUGAAGAUCUGGCCAAGAGCAAUAAUGCUCGUUAUGACAGGGAGAUGAAGGAUUACAUUCCUCCCAAUGGUGUUAAGAAAGGAAAGAAAAAAAGAUCCUAAUGUCCCCAAAAGACUAUCAUUUGCUUUUCUUCUGGUUUUGUUCUGAAUAUUGACCAAGGAUUAAGAGUCAGUAUCCAGUAUUUGGAGAUACUGCAAAGAAACUGGGAGGGACAUGGUCUGAACAAUCUGCCAAAGAUAAAUAACUGUAUGAGGAGAAAGCAGCUAAACUAAAGGAGAAGUAUGAAAAGGAUAUUGCUGCAAAUCAUGCCAAGGGCAAAGGUGAAACAAGAAAAAAUGGGUCCUGGUAGGCUAACAGGCUCAAAAAAGAAAAA
rnacentral:lncRNA from 1 species